rnacentral:rRNA from 1 species
GUACUUCGGUUAUGGAUGGUGGCGGACGGGUGAGUAAUGCGUAAAUAACUUGCCCCCUAGUCUGGGACAACUGUUGGAAACGACAGCUAAUACUAGAUAUUAUGAGACCUUGGCAUCAAGGACUUAUGAAAGCUAUAUGCGCUAGGGGAGAGAUUUGCGUCCUAUUAGCUAGUUGGUGAGGUAAUGGUUCACCAAGGCGACGAUAGGUAGCCGGCCUGAGAGGGUGAACGGCCACAAGGGGACUGAGACACGGCCCUUACUCCUACGGGAGGCAGCAGUGGGGAAUAUUGGACAAUGGACCAAAAGUCUGAUCCAGCAAUUCUGUGUGCUUGAUGAAGGCCUUCGGGUUGUAAAGAGCUUUAAGUAGGGAAGAAGAAAGUGACGGUACCUACAGAAUAAGCGACGGCUAAAUACGUGCCAGCAGCCGCGGUAAUACGUAUGUCGCAAGCGUUAUCCGGAAUUAUUGGGCAUAAAGGGCGUCUAGGCGGUUUAGAAAGUCUGAUGUGAAAAUGCGGGGCUCAACCCCGUAUUGCGUUGGAAACUACUAGACUAGAGUAUUGGAGAGGUAAGCGGAACUACAAGUGUAGAGGUGAAAUUCGUAGAUAUUUGUAGGAAUGCCAAUUGGGAAGCCAGCUUACUGGACAAAUACUGACGCUGAAGCGCGAAAGCUAGGGGAGCAAACAG